rnacentral:lncRNA from 1 species
CAUUCUGUCCUGCUUGUCCCCGUUCUCGGACACGUAGUGCCCCAACUCGUUCACGUCACCGUCGUUGUAGCUGCCGUCCAUCAUCAUGGGCCGGGGCUGAGGAAGGCUGCACGCGCAGGGGAGCUGUGGGCACAGGCAAGGGAAGAGCAUUUUGGAGUUAUUUCACAUCUGCUGGACACGACGUAAUCACAGAGAGAGCGAGGCUGUCUG